rnacentral:rRNA from 1 species
UGGGGAAUUUUUCGCAAUGGGGGAAACCCUGACGAAGCAACGCCGCGUGGAGGAUGAAGGCCUUCGGGUCGUAAACUCCUGUCGACUGGGACGAAAGCAGUCUGGGCUAAUAUCCCGGGUUGUUGACUGUACCGGUGGAGGAAGCCACGGCUAACUCUGUGCCAGCAGCCGCGGUAAUACAGAGGUGGCAAGCGUUGUUCGGAAUUACUGGGCGUAAAGGGCGCGUAGGCGGCUCGAUAAGUCUUGCGUGAAAUCCCCCGGCUCAACUGGGGAACUGCGCGGGAAACUGCCGGGCUUGAGUUCGGGAGAGGGAAGCGGAAUUCCGGGUGUAGCGGUGAAAUGCGUAGAUAUCCGGAGGAACACCGGUGGCGAAGGCGGCUUCCUGGACCGACACUGACGCUGAGGCGCGAAAGCUAGGGGAGCAAACGGGAUUAGAUACCCCCGUAGUCC